CACGGGGGGAGCAAGCGUUGUUCGGAAUCACUGGGCGUAAAGGGCGUGUAGGCGGCCAAGCAAGUGGAAUGUGAAAUCCCCCGGCUUACCCGGGGACCUGCAUCCCAAACUGCUUGGCUUGAGUACGGGAGAGGAUGGAGGAAUUCCUGGUGUAGCGGUGAAAUGCGUAGAUAUCAGGAGGAACACCGGUGGCGAAGGCGUCCAUCUGGCCCGAUACUGACGCUGAGGCGCGAAAGCUAGGGGAGCGAACGGG
rnacentral:rRNA from 1 species